CAAAAGGCCCUACUAAGGGCCCCCCGUAUAUGACUAGGGUUCUUGG
rfam:Picea glauca, whole genome shotgun sequence.